UCCUUAGAAUGGAAAUGACUUGGGGAAAAGGAGUAAAUGAAAGAGAACCAUAAUGAUACAAAAAUGUUCAGGCUAGUUUCUUUCUUCUGUCCUGCUUGGCCCCUGCUGCUGUUUCUUUACCAUCCUGCUGAAUUUAUCUAUAUUAUGCUCUGCGGUAAGAAGUCUAUAGAACCCCAGCUAAGCAGGAGAUACUGUGCAAAGUCAUGCGACAGGCAAAGAUGCCAUUGUGAUGCCAUUGUUGUGAGCUGUGGAACACAAGAGGAAGCGAUGCCGUCGUGAUGCCGUGGAACACAAGAGGAAGCAAUUGCCACAUCAGAUGGACAUUCUAGCGUAAUGGCCUCCAAGAGAUGAUCCUGAGCACAAGAUGCGCAAACUCAGGCCUAAAAAGACGAAGAGGUUUGCACAAGGUCAUCCCAAAUCACCUGUCUCUGGCUUUACAACCCGGACACUCAAUCCUGUGAUAUUCCUUCACGUCAAAGAUUACUUACGUCACAUGCACCACUUCCAAAAAGGGGAGACAUUCAAGACUACUUUCAGCUCUGCAGCCUGAAUCAUAAUAUAAUAUUACCUAAUGUCAAGGGAUGUCUAGGGAUGUCUAAUGUCUAGGGCAAAGACUGGAAAACUGUAGCCCAUAGUCCAAAUCCAGUCUUCUGUCUUCCUUUGCAAAUAAAAUUUUAUUGG